GACGAACGCUGGCGGCGUGCUUAACACAUGCAAGUCGAACGGAAAGGCCCUGCUUUUGUGGGGUGCUCGAGUGGCGAACGGGUGAGUAACACGUGAGUAACCUGCCCUUGACUUUGGGAUAACUUCAGGAAACUGGGGCUAAUACCGGAUAGGAGCUCCUGCUGCAUGGUGGGGGUUGGAAAGUUUCGGCGGUUGGGGAUGGACUCGCGGCUUAUCAGCUUGUUGGUGGGGUAGUGGCUUACCAAGGCUUUGACGGGUAGCCGGCCUGAGAGGGUGACCGGCCACAUUGGGACUGAGAUAUGGCCCAGACUCCUACGGGAGGCAGCAGUGGGGAAUAUUGCACAAUGGGCGGAAGCCUGAUGCAGCAACGCCGCGUGCGGGAUGACGGCCUUCGGGUUGUAAACCGCUUUCGCCUGUGACGAAGCGUGAGUGACGGUAAUGGGUAAAGAAGCACCGGCUAACUACGUGCCAGCAGCCGCGGUGAUACGUAGGGUGCGAGCGUUGUCCGGAUUUAUUGGGCGUAAAGGGCUCGUAGGUGGUUGAUCGCGUCGGAAGUGUAAUCUUGGGGCUUAACCCUGAGCGUGCUUUCGAUACGGGUUGACUUGAGGAAGGUAGGGGAGAAUGGAAUUCCUGGUGGAGCGGUGGAAUGCGCAGACAUCAGGAGGAACACCAGUGGCGAAGGCGGUUCUCUGGGCCUUUCCUGACGCUGAGGAGCGAAAGCGUGGGGAGCGAACAGGCUUAGAUACCCUGGUAGUCCACGCUGUAAACGGUGGGUACUAGGUGUGGGGUCCAUUCCACGGGUUCCGUGCCGUAGCUAACGCUUUAAGUACCCCGCCUGGGGAGUACGGCCGCAAGGCUAAAACUCAAAGGAAUUGACGGGGCCCCGCACAAGCGGCGGAGCAUGCGGAUUAAUUCGAUGCAACGCGUAGAACCUUACCUGGGUUUGACAUGGAUCGGGAGUGCUCAGAGAUGGGUGUGCCUCUUUUGGGGUCGGUUCACAGGUGGUGCAUGGCUGUCGUCAGCUCGUGUCGUGAGGUGUUGGGUUAAGUCCCGCAACGAGCGCAACCCUUGUUCACUGUUGCCAGCACGUUAUGGUGGGGACUCAGUGGAGACCGCCGGGGUCAACUCGGAGGAAGGUGGGGAUGACGUCAAGUCAUCAUGCCCCUUAUGUCCAGGGCUUCACGCAUGCUACAAUGGCUGGUACAGAGAGUGGCGAGCCUGUGAGGGUGAGCGAAUCUCGGAAAGCCGGUCUCAGUUCGGAUUGGGGUCUGCAACUCGACCUCAUGAAGUCGGAGUCUCUAGUAAUCGCAGAUCAGCAACGCUGCGGUGAAUACGUUCCCGGG
rnacentral:rRNA from 1 species